AGUUAAUUGAUCUUUCUCCUGUUAAUCUGUCUCAUGGCAAUUUAAUUAUUAGACAGCCAAAGAACCUAGAAGGGGGCAGGGAAUGUAUUUCCAGCCCUACAGUUAUAACUGGGCCUUGGGCAACAGGGUCUCAGAAAUACUGAGCGUGAAUCGUCAUUGUUAAUAUUGUUCUGGAUUCGGGGCCAGGUCCCUGCCGCUCCAGCCCCAAGGCCACCGCGGGUCUGGAUGGAUGCUGACUGACCAUCGCCUUGGCCACCCCCAGGAAUGUUCCUCUGGUUUCGCUCUGAGGGGCCCGGAGGCCUCCUGGUGACUCUGCACCAUCUCCAGAGGUCAACCAUUGGUCACGGGGCCCCUUGGCACAAAAGGGGCAGCAGAGCACCUGUCUCUCCUUGACCGUGAUUACUGAUGACUGCCACCCACACCCACACGCCCUGGAGCUGGGCGGGGCAGCCGCACCACCCCGGGUCUGGGGUGGGGCUGGAAACGGCCGUGCGCACUGGGGCCUGCUCCGAGGGUGAAAUGCCCACACAGGAUUCCAAAGACAGUACACACAGAAGAAUGUGAAACAUCCAUUAACGAUUGCCUGCAUGUGUUGAAAUAAUACGUUGGAUAUAUUGGGUUAAAUAAAAAGUAUUGUUUUCA